rnacentral:lncRNA from 1 species
AUCGGAUCCGAGAGUCUUUUUCUAAAGGCCAGUACUGGCCACACUUUCUCCUGCCGCCUUCCUCAAAGCUGAAGACACACAGAGCAAGGCGCUUCUGUUUUACUCCCCAAUGGUAACUCCAAACCAUAGAUGGUUAGCUCCCUGCUCAUCUUUCCACAUCCCUGCUAUUCAGUAUAGUCCGUGGACCAAUCACACCAGCAUCGUAUGGGAGAGUGUAAGAAACAUGAAUCUGCAUGUCAACGAGAUCCCCAGGUGAAUCUACAAUUAUAAGAAAAAGUAAAAAGAGAAAAGGGAAAGAAAGUCUCUUGGUCCAGGGGAAUCCUGGGCAAGAGUGAAUAUACACUGAUAGCCACUUCAUAAUCCAGAAUUCCAAGGGAGACACAGUUUGUUCUUUCCGCCUGCCUUGGCCUCCCAAAGUGCCGAGAUUGCAG